rnacentral:rRNA from 1 species
AACGAACGCUGGCGGCAGGCUUAACACAUGCAAGUCGAACGCCCCGCCAGGGGAGUGGCAGACGGGUGAGUAACGCGUGGGAACAUACCCUUUUCUACGGAAUAGCUCUGGGAAACUGGAAUUAAUACCGUAUACGCCCUACGGGGGAAAGAUUUAUCGGGGAAGGAUUGGCCCGCGUUGGAUUAGCUAGUUGGUGGGGUAAAGGCCUACCAAGGCGACGAUCCAUAGCUGGUCUGAGAGGAUGAUCAGCCACAUUGGGACUGAGACACGGCCCAAACUCCUACGGGAGGCAGCAGUGGGGAAUAUUGGACAAUGGGCGCAAGCCUGAUACAGCCAUGCCGCGUGAGUGAUGAAGGCCUUAGGGUUGUAAAGCUCUUUCACCGAUGAAGAUAAUGACGGUAGUCGGAAAAGAAGCCCCGGCUAACUUCGUG